AUGGUUCUCGUCCGCUACGGCAUCACCUACCUCAUCGAGCAUCCACCACCACCCAACGCCAUCUCCCAAUAUCUCGAGCUUGACGCCCACAUCGCCCUCUGGAUUUAUGCCACUCUCUCGGAUGUCAUGUGUGACCAUGUUGUCGGCGCCACCACCACAUAUGCCCUCUGGCACAAGAUUCAGGCCUUCUUUCUUGCCAAUCGCGAUGCGCGGUUCAUGAUCCUCAAUCGCCAGUAUCGCAACCUAAAACAGGGCGAUCUCUCUGUGUCCGACUACGCCCGCCGCAUGAAGCUCCUCACCGACGCUCUCGCCGACAUCAAUCAUGCGGUCACCGAGGUGGAUCUCACCACCCAAUUCCUCCAUGGCUUGGACAAGCGCCUCGACACCAUCCGCGUCGUCCUCGGCGAUCAAGGGCUUCCCUUCGACACCGUCCUCUCCCGCGUCGUCCUGGCUGAGGAGUCCCAGGCGCAGCGCGCGUCUGAGGAGAGCGCCUCUGCUUUCGCUCUGCCUGGCGGUGGCCCCUCGGGCGGUACCUCCGGCGGCGGCAGCCAUCACACCACCGAUCGCUCCAACGACCGUGCUCCGGGCGCCUCCUCUUCGUCGACUCCCGCUUCUGGCCGCGGCCGCGGUGACCGCUAUGGAGACGUUGGUGACCGUGGCCGUGGACGCGGACGCGGCCGUGGACGCGGGCGCCACGACAACGGGGGCCGUGGCCAGCCUCAGCCGGCCUCGCUCGCCCCGUACACUGGCUACUUUGCGCCGUACGGGAUGGCGAUCCCGUCUCCGCGCUCUGGCUGGGUGCCUCCCAACGCCGCCGGUGUGCUCGGGCCCCGCCCGGGCUCUCAUGCCCAGGCCUACCCAGCCUACGCGCCGCCGCCCGCUCCACCGGCCCCGUACUACCCGGUCGCGCCUCCGUCGUGGGAUCACCUUGCGCUGCUCAACGCCGCCUACAGCAACAACAACUACCCCGCUCCUCCCGCACCCGAGUGGUAUCUCGACAGCGGGGCUUCCUCCCACAUCACAGGCAAUUCAGGUACCCUCACCUAG
rnacentral:rRNA from 1 species